rnacentral:pre_miRNA from 1 species
GUGUGUGUGAUGGGGUGGCAGUGUGUGUUAGCUGGUUGACAUUCAGACAUCAGCUAACACGCAGCUGCUGUCCUGCGCCACGUACC